CUAUUACUAUUAUUAUUACAAGUGUAGUAUUUUGUAUUUUUAUACUUUAUGCAUUACUUUCAUAUAAGGUCUCUCAUUUGAGAUAAUUAGCUCCUGGAUGACAAUACAGCUUUUAUCACAGAUGCUAUGUACAAGCAUUUAAUAAGCAUGAUUGCUACUGGAUUUGUUCAAAUGAAAAAGCAGCAUAUUCCCCUUGCUUUGAUGUAAGAUCACAAUGUAUGAAAAGUAAUAUUUUUUACUCAAAUUGUUCCUGACUUUAAGCCAUUUAAAGGUACAAUUUCAUUCAUUUGCCCUUGUGAGGCUUUAUUCCACAAACUGUCUAUUACCCCACUUUAUAAAUGAGGAAGAGAAAUGUGAAAUAAUUUCCCUAAGGUGAAAGGCCAAUCAGCUCUAUAACCACCUUCAUUUGAUGAUGAAAUGUUCGAAAUAUGUUGUUAUCUUCUCGUCUGGCUCUUGAUAAAUCCUGAAAUUUUCAAAUCUAGUUGAGGAGCAUCUGAAUACACAGGAGUGAAAAGCAGGCUAAAAGAGAGUGGUGGUGUGAAGCCUUUGGUAGCGACCCUGCCAUCCAGUCUUGGCCAUUUCUGCCUUUAAUCUUCUCAGUAAUCAGCAAGUGUUAAGUCCAUUUUAAAACUACCCUGUAACCUCCAACCUUAAGAAAAUGAAGAGAAUUUUUUUUAAUGAGAGAUCUUGCAAACACAUUUCACCCAAAGGUUGAGAGUUUUUUUCUUCUCUUGAUCUGGAUAGAGUUAAGUUCUUGCCAGAAGGAAGCAGAGUGGCAUGACCAGUAUGACCUGGGCUCGGAAUGAUCUGGCAGACACCUUGCUUUAGGGAGUAUUUCUAGCGGUGGAUGACUGUUGCUGCAAUUCUUUUACACCCAAACACGCUAGUGACAGUGGUGGUCAGUUUACUCAACAAACAUGUCUAGCUAACUGACAAAUUUUGGUUUUUUCCUGGGGACAAAAUGUUCUAAGAGUCUUAUGGGAAAAGAGGACAGACAUGGAGACCUUAUUAUUUCAUUCUGAUUUACGCUUGUUGCUAUUUAUGAAUGACUUCCAUUUAAUUAGGUGUUUUUUAAAUUUAAAACAGUGUUUGUGACUCUAAUAACUCCCAAAGCACAAACUUGGGACAUUAACUAUUGUGGGGGGUGGGUGUUCAAAAAGUCUUUCAAUCACAAAGCUGUAAUUGAUUGUUUAGCACAUGAAAGAAUUAUUUAUUGUUUUACAGGAUAAUUAUGGAGACAUGAAAAAACAGCUUCCACUGCUAAGUAAAACCCAACUUCCGUUUUUCAGAAUUACAAGUUUUAUUGUAAAAAAUUUUAACCCAAUGGACAUAUUUGCUUUAGAUUUAUGAGUUAAUAUAGUUUCCAAACCUGAAGGCACAAGGGAGGAUAAAAGUAAAUGGAAAGGGACAUUAAGGAGUCAGUGGUCAUAGGAAAGAAAGCACAUUGAACAGUGUCAUCAGUAAAUUGCUAUAACCCCAGGACACUAACACCCUUGAAAAAAGCGCAUGGCAAAUAAUGCUUUUAUGGGUAUACUUAAUAAUUUUCUCCCAUGAUAAAAAUUAAAACCAAAGUGUUUCAUGGAGUCAUUCUGAGAUAAUCUUUGAAAUAUUAUCAAAAAGGAACUGGUCUGUUUUAUACUUCAGGGGAGAAAAUGUUCACAUUUUAGAAUAGCAUUCUGUGAUUAUGUUUAAUGGGAAAAUAAAAUAUAGGUGACUUCUCCAAGAAUCAAUAUCCUCUUUUCUCCAUUCUUGGUGUUUUGCAGGCUGAUUAAUUUGCAGAGGUUGAGUUUGAUUGCCGCUGAAGUAGAAAGCAUUAUAGAUUCUCUGUUAUUCUUCAAGCCACUUGGCUAAAGUCUAUGGUUCUGUCUCUAUGUAUUUAUCUACCUUUCCACAUGGCGCUUAGCACUGGAGCUUUGGGCCUCUCCUAAACAUAUUGUGAAAAUCUAUUGUCCUGAAUUCUCAAGUCUUGCUGUGAAUAGGUAACUACCCCCACCCCCCACCCAAGAUAGCUGUUCUGUGAGGUAAAGGUAAAUGAGCCAGACAGAAACAGGCAUUUAUAAAACAGCUUUGUGUGUCUAUAAAGAAUGUAUCCAGCUAACUUUUGAAAGCAAAAAGGGGAGGCUCUGAAGGUCAUAAAAUUUAUAUAAAUCAUAUAGCAAUUAAAGAAAUAAUGACUGAAAUAAAAUUUGUCCAACA